rnacentral:rRNA from 1 species
GAUCCUGGCUCAGGAUGAACGCUAGCUACAGGCUUAACACAUGCAAGUCGAGGGGCGAGCAUGGUCUUAGCUUGCUAAGGCCGAUGGCGACCGGCGCACGGGUGAGUAACGCGUAUCCAACCUGCCUUACACGUCUUGGACAGCCUUCUGAAACGGGAGAUUAAUACAAGAUGUUAUCAUGAGUAAGCAUUUUCGCAUGAUUAAAGGUUUACCGGUGUAAGAUGGGGAUGCGUUCCA